CCUCAGCCGGGGGAAGCGGAUUCCCAGGACAGGCUCACGCCGCCAGAAGUAAAUCCGGCCGCCCAGAAAGAGAAAGAGCUCCUCACUAUAGCUUCCCCUUCACAGACCGACACUCCCUUCUCCGCGGGGUCCCCAGACCCAGGAGCCGCCGCCCCCUCAGCUCAGCGAGCGAGCGCCACCCCAGCCCCUUCUUCCCAUUGUUCCCAGAUCCUUGAAAGAACCAUGUCAACAAAAAGUGUGGAAUUUUUAAGUGUUGAACUCCUGGCCGUCAUGAAGUUCCUGUUCCUGCAGAAGAAAACUCCAAAGGAAAUCCAUAAUUGUAUGAUGCAAACAUUGAGUGACAAGUGCCCGUCAUACUCAACUGCGGUGUGCCAACUUUCACCGUGGAGAUUUUGAGACUGAAGAUGCGGCAAGAUCUGGGAGGCCUUCAACAGUGUCAACUCCUGAAAUUAUUGAUCAUUUUCAUGACCUGAUUUUGGGCAGAUAGGCGAAUCCCGGCUAAAACAAUUGCUGAGACACUAGAGAUAUCAAGGAAAUGUGUUGGGUUUAUAAUUCAUGAGCAGUUGAGUAUGCAGAAGCUGUCAGCCCAGUGGGUGCCGAAAUGUUUGCAUGCCGACAAGAAACGAUAUCAAGUGGACACCUCCAAGUUGAUUUUGCAGCAUUUUGAGCGAUCUAAUGAUAAUUUUUUGGAACGACUCAUCACUGUUGCUGAAACAUGGUUACACCACUAUGAUCCAAACGACAGUCCUUGCAGUGGCAGCACUCGGGUUCUCCACGGCCUAAGAAAUUCAAGACCCAAAGGUCAGCAGGAAAGGUCAUGGCCAUGGUUUUUUGGGAUAAGGAAGGUAGUUUGAUGGCUGACUAUCUUCAGAAGGGCCAAACAGUUAAUGCAGAAUACUACUCUAACUAGCUGUGCUGAUUAAAGGAGGCGUUGAAAGAAAAAUGUCAAGAAAAGCAGUAGAAAUGUGUUCUCUUUUUGCAGGGCAAAGCACCUGCUCACAAGGCUGGCAAGAUGUUUUGAAGGAUUUGGGGUUUGAGUGCAUAGACCAUUCACCCUACUCACCAGAUCUUGCUCCAUCGGACUAUUUCCUGUUUCCAAACCUUAAAAAGAGUAUGAAAGGGAGGAAAUUUUCAAAUGAUUUGGAGGUGAUAGCAGCAGCAGAGCAGUAUUUCAGUGACCAGAAAUCAGAAAAAUUUUUUGGAAGGGUUAAUGAAACUUGAGAAACGAUGUGCCAAGUGUGUUGAACUUCGGGGUGAAUAUGUGGAAUAGCAUCCCACAGAGCUGUAAAAUGUAUCAAACUAACCGCAAUGCACAUCAGAAGGAAGAUCAGAAAAGAGACCAAAAUGACUUGUCUAAAACAGUCUUCGAAUUACAUGAACAAUUAAAAGUAUGUAACAUUUUCCAUUUAAACUUUAUAUAUAUUAUAGACACACCUUGAAAGGAGACUUGAAUCUUACUAAAGAGGGUAAGAAUAAAAAAAUACUGGAUAGCAGUCUGCAGAUCACACCUCUAGUGCAACAAAGAAAAAUAAUUCCUAUCUAUGGGAUGGAUUUUACCUCUGCAGAAUUCUUAAAGGGAGUGGUUUUAAAGAUACAAAGAGAACCAAAAUAUCUUGUACCAAUGCAGCUUAGCAGUUGGCUAUGGAUUGGAAGAGCAAAUGGGCCUCAGAGAUCAGUUGCACACCCAACAGUAUUGUGGAGAAUGGUCCUUGUGUAGGAAUUUUACUGUGUGACUAAGCAUUCUCUCUCUUCUUGCCUAAGGCAUACUUGCCUCUGAAUGUAUGUGUCUAUGUUGUAUCCCUGGACCUGGAGUGGAGUCAGUCUUCAGUUCUGUUGAUUGGUUGUUUUAUCAGUUCAGUUGGUUGUGCUCUCCCCCUCUUACAGAAGUGACUGUUACCUUGUUAAGCAGUGUUAAGAAAUAAUAAAUAAUUAAGAUGUUUCUGCAACUAAAGUUAAGCCUCUUAUUUAAUUCCUUAUAAAUCAAGAAAUCAUUCUGCAACACCUUGCAAGCUCAGAGUUGGGUCA